GAGGUCCUAGUAAAUCAAUUACAUAGCACUGUCGUAGCUAAGUUAUAGGCUUAACCCUAUGGACCUAA
rnacentral:tRNA from 1 species